UCCGGGUCGAGUCCGCUACCGAUACCAAUAGUAUAUUCAUCUGUUACCUAUUACCUUAUCUGUACGUUCCGCAUCUGACAGGCGCACCACCAAACGUUGUAUUCGGGAUUAAUAUGCUAUAUACACGGGUCAUAACCACAGGGUUGACACUACUAAAUUGUCAAAUUGUUACCUAUUGUAGUAUUUUAAUCAAUAAGACUUUCUAAGAUAACAAUACGAAUACUAAAAAUCAGG
rnacentral:lncRNA from 1 species